rnacentral:rRNA from 1 species
AGGGUUUGAUUAUGGCUCAGGACGAACGCUGGCGGCGUGCUUAACACAUGCAAGUCGAACGGACGAGCACCCUUCGGGGUGUAAGUUAGUGGCGGACGGGUGAGUAACGCGUGAGUAACCUGCCUUGGAGUGGGGGAUAACACAGGGAAACUUGUGCUAAUACCGCAUAAGAUCAUAGGGUGGCAUCAUCCAGUGAUCAAAGAUUUAUUGCUCCAAGAUGGGCUCGCGUCCGAUUAGAUAGUUGGCGGGGUAAAGGCCCACCAAGUCGACGAUCGGUAGCCGGACUGAGAGGUUGGCCGGCCACAUUGGGACUGAGACACGGCCCAG